rnacentral:tRNA from 1 species
UGGGGCGUAGCCAAGAGGUAAGGCACGGGACUUUGACUCCCGCAUUCGCCGGUUCGAAUCCGGCCGCCCCAGCCA